rnacentral:lncRNA from 1 species
UUAUUUUUAAUUUGAAUUUUGAAAUUUUUUUUUGUCUCAAGCAAUACCCAUCUAGGUUUAUCGAAUAUUCACUUUACUACCCUUUAAUUUUAACUUUGUCACUAAUUUAAGAAAAAAAAUAGUGAAAUUGAUAAUAAAAAGAGAAAAAUGAAACCACAUGGCACUAAAUUGAUACACUUUAAUCCACAGGGUACUAAAAUAAAAAAGUGCGAAACCAGAGGGGUUU